AGGAUAAACGCUGGCGGCGUGCCUAAUGCAUGCAAGUCGCACGGAGUGUCUCUUCGGAGGCAUUGAGUGGCGAACGGGUGAGGAACGCGUGGACAACCUACCCCGGCGUGGGGGAUACCCGCCAGAAAAUGGCGGCUAAUACCGCGUACGGUCGUCGAACGAAGGGUUUGACGAAGAAAGCAGUAAUGCGCGCUGGGAGGGGUCUGCGGCCGAUUAGCUUGUUGGCGGGGUAAUGGCUCACCAAGGCGAUGAUCGGUAGCUGGUCUGAGAGGAUGAUCAGCCACACGGGGACUGAGAGACGGCCCCGACUCCUACGGGAGGCAGCAGCAAGGAAUUUUCCGCAAUGGGGGCAACCCUGACGGAGCAACGCCGCGUGACGGAUGACGCCUCUUGGGGUGUAAACGUCUUUUGCCGAGGGAGAGAAUGGACGGUACUCGGCGAAUAAGGACCGGCUAACUACGUGCCAGCAGCCGC
rnacentral:rRNA from 1 species